rnacentral:rRNA from 1 species
GAUGAACGCUGGCGGCGUGCUUAACACAUGCAAGCCGAACGAAGCAUUUGCGACAGAUUUUUUCGGAAUGAAGUUGCUUAUGACUGAGUGGCGGACGGGUGAGUAACGCGUGGGUAACCUGCCUUGUACUGGGGGAUAGCAGCUGGAAACGGCUGGUAAUACCGCAUAAGCGCACAAUGUUGCAUGACAUGGUGUGAAAAACUCCGGUGGUAUAAGAUGGACCCGCGUCUGAUUAGCUAGUUGGUGAGAUAACAGCCCACCAAGGCGACGAUCAGUAGCCGACCUGAGAGGGUGACCGGCCACAUUGGGACUGAGACACGGCCCAGACUCCUACGGGAGGCAGCAGUGGGGAAUAUUGCACAAUGGAGGAAACUCUGAUGCAGCGACGCCGCGCGAGUGAAGAAGUAAUUCGUUAUGUAAAGCUCUAUCAGCAGGGAAGAUAGUGACGGUACCUGACUAAGAAGCUCCGGCUAAAUACGUG